CUCCUAUGAUGAUCCAGCCAUGCUAAUACUGAUGCGCCAGGCGAGUGUCUGGGUGCAUGUGAGUUCAACCCAUCUUCUCACGCUGAUGUCUUCAGUGUGUGCUGAGGAGA